rnacentral:rRNA from 1 species
UGGUGUUGAUAGCUAUGGGGUUCCACCCGUUCCCAUACCGAACACGGUAGUUAAGCCCAUAUACGCUGAAAGUACUUGGCUGGAAACGGCCUGGGAGGAUAAGUAGAUGCCA